rnacentral:rRNA from 1 species
AUGAACGCUAGCGACAGGCUUAACACAUGCAAGUCGAGGGGCAGCGGGGGUAGCAAUACCCGCCGGCGACCAGCGCACGGGUGAGUAACGCGUAUGCAACUUACCUAUCAGAGGGGGAUAACCCGGCGAAAGUCGGACUAAUACCGCAUGAAGCAGGGGCCCCGCAUGGGGAUAUUUGCUAAAGAUUCAUCGCUGAUAGAUAGGCAUGCGUUCCAUUAGGCAGUUGGCGGGGUAACGGCCCACCAAACCGACGAUGGAUAGGGGUUCUGAGAGGAAGGUCCCCCACAUUGGUACUGAGACACGGACCAAACUCCUACGGGAGGCAGCAGUGAGGAAUAUUGGUCAAUGGCCGAGAGGCUGAACCAGCCAAGUCGCGUGAGGGAUGAAGGUUCUAUGGAUCGUAAACCUCUUUUAUAAGGGAAUAAAGUGCGGGACGUGUCCCGUUUUGUAUGUACCUUAUGAAUAAGGAUCGGCUAACUCCGUGCCAGCAGCCGCGGUAAUACGGAGGAUCCGAGCGUUAUCCGGAUUUAUUGGGUUUAAAGGGUGCGUAGGCGGCCUUUUAAGUCAGCGGUGAAAGUCUGUGGCUCAACCAUAGAAUUGCCGUUGAAACUGGGGGGCUUGAGUAUGUUUGAGGCAGGCGGAAUGCGUGGUGUAGCGGUGAAAUGCAUAGAUAUCACGCAGAACCCCGAUUGCGAAGGCAGCCUGCCAAGCCAUUACUGACGCUGAUGCACGAAAGCGUGGGGAUCAAACAGGAUUAGAUACCCUGGUAGUCCACGCAGUAAACGAUGAUCACUAGCUGUUUGCGAUACAGUGUAAGCGGCACAGCGAAAGCGUUAAGUGAUCCACCUGGGGAGUACGCCGGCAACGGUGAAACUCAAAGGAAUUGACGGGGGCCCGCACAAGCGGAGGAACAUGUGGUUUAAUUCGAUGAUACGCGAGGAACCUUACCCGGGUUUGAACGCAUUCGGACCGAGGUGGAAACACCUUUUCUAGCAAUAGCCGUUUGCGAGGUGCUGCAUGGUUGUCGUCAGCUCGUGCCGUGAGGUGUCGGCUUAAGUGCCAUAACGAGCGCAACCCUUGCCACUAGUUACUAACAGGUGAUGCUGAGGACUCUGGUGGGACUGCCAGCGUAAGCUGCGAGGAAGGCGGGGAUGACGUCAAAUCAGCACGGCCCUUACAUCCGGGGCGACACACGUGUUACAAUGGCGUGGACAAAGGGAGGCCACCUGGCGACAGGGAGCGAAUCCCCAAACCACGUCUCAGUUCGGAUCGGAGUCUGCAACCCGACUCCGUGAAGCUGGAUUCGCUAGUAAUCGCGCAUCAGCCAUGGCGCGGUGAAUACGUUCCCGGGCCUUGUACACACCGCCCGUCAAGCCAUGGGAGCCGGGGGUACCUGAAGUCCGUAACCGAAAGGAUCGGCCUAGGGUAAAACUGGUGACUGGGGCU